UACCCUACACCAACUACCAGGCACCACUCAGGAAACUUCUCUUUCCAUUCUCUAACUUCCCCAAGACCCUUUCAGGCAUGGAACUCUCUGUAUCCUCUAUGGACACCCACCUACCUGUGGCAGGGCCUAGGCACACACAGGACUCAGCUCUCUCAACAGAUUCAAGUGGACCGAGGACAGAAAGCCUUCCUUCCAUGAGCACUGAAAGUCUCCAGAAGCCAUCCUCCACACUGCUGACAUCUUCUUGAUGGAUCCUAGAAGGAAAUCACUCUCCCUGCCACCUGGAGACAAGCUUGUCUAUGGUCUUCCAACUCUCCAUCUCUACAAAGCCUCCUGGAGACAUUUGAAAGCCUUCCUUCCAUGAGCACUGAAAGUCUCCAGAAGCCAUCCUCCACACUGCUGACAUCUUCUUGAUGGAUCCUAGAAGGAAAUCACUCUCCCUGCCACCUGGAGACAAGCUUGUCUAUGGUCUUCCAACUCUCCAUCUCUACAAAGCCUCCUGGAGACAUUUGGUGAGGCUAAA